CGUGGGUACCUACCCCCAAACGAUGAGGGAAUAACCACCGAGAAAUCGGUGACAAGACCGCAUACGCUCGUGUACGCGAGCAAAGCUUCGCAAGAGGCGUCUUAGGAUGGGCCUGCGCCUGAUUAGCUAGUUGGGGAGGUAACGGCUUCCCAAGGCGACGAUCAGUAGCUGGUCUGAGAGGAUGAUCAGCCACACUGGGAUUGAGAACGGCCCAG
rnacentral:rRNA from 1 species